rnacentral:rRNA from 1 species
UACGGAGGGUGCAAGCGUUAUCCGGAUUCACUGGGUUUAAAGGGUGCGUAGGUGGGUUGGUAAGUCAGUGGUGAAAUCUCCGAGCUUAACUGGGAAACUGCCAUUGAAACUGUGUGGCUUGAGUACAAUUGAAGUGGGCGGAAUACAUCAUGUAGCGGUGAAAUGCUUAGAUAUGAUGUAGAACACCGAUUGCGAAGGCAGCUCACUAAAUUGCAACUGACGCUGAGGCACGAAAGCGUGGGUAGCGAACAGG